rnacentral:lncRNA from 1 species
UUCAAGUUCAAUUUAAUCCGGUUAAACUUGAAUGCAAAUAUGCUGAGCCAUGAUAAAAUAACAUGAUGCCAACAAUAAUACAUGAACAUGAUAUCAACAUCAUCAUGAGAGUAUCACAUAAGUUUCCACCAUAUCAACAGUAAAUCAUAUCCACUGAGCAUCACAUACCAACUAGCAUGACCAUCUCCAACAUCAACAUUUACUACUAACAAGCAUAAACAUAUGAAAAGUAAUACCAGCAGGUAUAACAUGAUCACAGAGUAUAAGACAACAUAUCACAAAAGUGAACAUGCAAAUCUGAAUACUACCGGAACAACGAUAACCAUCUUUUCAACAAGCAAACAUUUAUUAAAUAUUCAAGUUGAAAACCAUGGCAACUGCACGACUAUCAUGCAAGUGGGUAUUGUGGCUUGCCUGGGGAUGAAGAAGGCACCGGGGAGAAGUGCGGUGAAGCCGCGGAAAGACUCGCCGGGAAUUGUUCUCUCUCGGAGGGAGCAGAUUAAGGGCAAGGGCAUAAAGGUCAUUUUCAUAGUGUCAAACCAUAGUGAAAACAUGACCAACAGAAUGGGCUCGACGAAAAGAAGAAGUGAGCGUUGGUUUCACCUCAAACGAAGUUACGGAUAAAAAGAUAUAAGGGUUUUACUGCCAGGGACCUAUCUGUAAAAAUUUAUUUUACAGACUGGGCCAAAACAGAAAAUGGGAAAGCGUAUUCGGGAUAUUACCUCUUCACCUUAUCCGUUGGAAUAGUGGAUGGGCUGACGUGUGCGGGUCCCAUGGGUGGGGCCCGUCACUUAUCCACCUGGCGGUCCUCGGUCAACGCCUGAGGGGCUGACUGGUGGGGUCCGCACGCAGGGGGGCCUACCUGGCUCGUCUCCUUCCUCGUCUCGACGCCGCCCAACAGAGCAGAGGACCGGGCGAGCUCCGGCAACGACUGCCGGUGCUACGGGCCACCAUUCGCGGCGCUCGGACCACCGGUGUGCUCGGGAGACAGAGCCGCGUCGGAUGGGCCAUUCCACGGACGCCGAGGAGGAUUGGAGCGGCUAGGCGGUGGACUCCGGCGGAGAUGGCCUCGGGUGGAGAUGGAUUUCGGCGAUGAGGGCAACUCCAGCGAGGCUGAGAGCGUGGGGAGGUUCGCCGGAGAGUGGUGGAGGCUCUGGUGGUGGUAGAAGGAGGGGAGGGGCUCGACUCCGGGCAAAUUUGAGAGGAUGGCUGCGGCGGCCAUGGCGGCGAUGAGGGGCGCAGAGAGCUCCAAGGGCUCGGACUAGAGGCUAGGCGGGGUCCUGGGAGAGUGGUGAGGUGAGUGGAGAGCUCGGGCUGCGCGGGGAGGGGAUUAAAUAGCCGCGGGACGAGGAGGUCGCGCUGGCUCUGCCGGCGACGCGUGUCCGGCGCCACGGGCGCGUGCCCGCGCGAAUGGAGUCGGGGCAAACGACGGGGAGGGCACAGGGCAAAGCUUCACGGGGCAUAGGAGGCCAAGGGGAAGCAGAGGAAGAAGACAACGACGAAUGGAUCCAGAACGCUACUAUGCUCUCGUGUUCACGCGGCGGCGAGCGUCGGUGAGCUGGCUUCCGGAGGGGGCGAGGUGUCCACAGUGAAGAGGACGAUGAUGCUGAGCUGGUUGACACUCGGGGACAAGCCAGAACUGGCCGGAGCGACGCUGCUGUUGCCAGGCGAGACCACCAUUUUGCCUGGCUGCACUCGUGGUCACCACUGGCAUAGCGCGCUCUGGAGGUUUUACUGAGAUUAAACCAUGUCUAACGCAUAGUCCUUUGAAGGGCGGUUUCAACUACGGUCGUAACUAGGUGAAAGAGGCUCUGGUAAAAACGAAAUAACCCUCUGAAGUUUACUGCAGUAAACUUCAGCAGCUCAAUGAGAUCAACUGAAAAUUAUUGGAGGCCAAACAAUAUGUCUGGGAUGUUUAGGAUAGGAAGUACUAAGGCCUGGGGAGGUUGAGGGUAAAAUGAUCAAUAUUAACUGCAGUUCUUCACAACUGCAUACUUGGUCCAGAAAUGAAAAUCAUGAUGGUGCACUCACAUGGAGUGUCCACUUGAGCUCAAAUUGGGCAAGGCUUAUGCAUUUGGUCAUAUGAAGAUGCUGUAAAAAUAUCAUGCCAAAUGGACAAGCCAAAAUAGCACUUGCUUCACAAACAUCUCUGGUGACCAGAAACUUGGAAUAAUUAUGGUGGUCAAAUGGAUCAAUGAAAUGAUGCCAAAAUGGUAGGAGAGAUGUCUUAUGGGCAAUAGAAUGAUCUGGUAAUUUAUCAGGAUUUUUUAAGCAAUAUAAAAUAUACUUGCUUCACAACCUGAAAAUUUUGCCAGAAACAAAGAUUUGCUCAUGUGCUCCAAUAUAUGAUUGGAUGGGGCUGUAAAUGGGUGGAAGGGGUUAAUAUGAGCACAUUAAGGAGUGUGAAAAAGUUCAACUCAUUUGGAUACUCCUAGCUAGUACUUCCUUCACAAAGCCUUCUGUUAGACAGAAACUUUGAAAAUUCACUGAGGAAGAUUGGCUAGGCAAAUAAAUUUGAACUUGUGCAUGGGGAAAUUAUUUGGACAUAUAAACAUGCCCAAAAAGGUUGGGAGUCAAUAGGAGAAAUAUAAAUGACACUUCCUUCACAAAGUGUCGUUCAGGGCAGAAUAAGAAAAGGAAUACUGGGGAAUUAUUUUUGAACAUGGCAUUGAAAAGUUUUUCCAUAUUUGAUCAAGAUAUGACCCAAACAGUUUAUGAGAACUAUUUGGGAUUUUUUGGAGUGAGGGAAAUAUAGGUUGCUUCACAACCUAGGGCAAUUGGAGUUAUUCCUAUAAUAGAAAAGGAAUAUUCCCAAUAAAAAGAAUAUUGGGAUUUGGGCUAGGAUGGAAAUGACAGGGUCUAGGGAAAGAUUUGGGAACGACAAGCCACUCUAGAAGCAAAGAAGAGGGCAUCUUCUUUAGUUUCCAGACCACAAAGCCACGGAAAAAGAAAACUCAGGCAAAAACCUCGGAAAAACAAAAGAAAAAAGAAAGGGCCAAAAAAUCAGGCUGUGACAAAGCCUUACCCCCUUAAAGAAAUCUCUUCCUCGAGAUUUGGUUGCUCAGGUAACAAGUAUGAAUAUUCUGACUUAAGGAAACCAUUUCCAACUCGGGUAUCCUUUUUCCUAUAUUGUUGUUCCCAUUAAAUUUUUAUCUGACUGGCCCUUGGGUGGUUUGAUUCACUGUAUCCAUAUUCUGACAGAUCUUACCUCUCUUGCUCAUUCUUAUAUAGGUUCCAAUUUCUUUUUAGAUCUGCUGGCUAGCUGAGUGUGAUUUAAUUAUAAUGACUUAAAUAUAUGUCCAUCUCACAGAUCCAAAAGUGAUUUCCGCCGGGUGUGCCACCCGACACUGACAAACUUUCCUGUAAUGAUGAUCAGAUUUUUCUGGUGAAAACUCAAGAUCUGACUCAUUGCAUUGAGUUUCUCCACUAAAUGCAGGUCCUUUGGGUUCCAACAGUGAGUUAAAACAUAACCGUUUCCUGACAGAUUCUGACUCAUCGCAGAAGUUUCUGAAUCAUCUUAACUGGUUCCACUGCCAUGAGUAUCGGAUCUGUACCAAAUAUUUGAUUGUCUCCUAUUGCGGCCAGCAUAAAGGGUUUGGCCUGUAUGAUAAUAUCUACAGACUUGACUGACGGUGGUUCUGACGGAAAUUUUUUGUUCACGUCAGGCUAUCCAUGAUGAUUCAUAUAAGUGAGGACUCAGGCUUCCAGACUGAUAUUCCUCAUGCCGAUUAAUCAUGCUGUAGGCAUAUCCAUGUGGACCAAUGCUGACUUAGACUGUCCGGGGGAUCUGCACCAUGGGGGUCGUGUACAAUUUUCAUACCUGCUGUACUGGUCUUGCUCCUUCAUUAUUGUUUUCUUGGUCUGGAUCUUUGGCCGAAAGAGUUGGGUCAUAUUGUUUCUUUGUAUGACCAUAGGUAUUGUUGGUGCAAUUUUUGGCAAUUGUAGUUUAUCAUCAUUUUCUGAUAAGGUAACCCAUUAAAUGGCAGGUUCAAAACCUCUCAUUUUCUGAUCGUUGGGAAAUGAUCAUCUGAAACCCUUGUAAGAAAUCGGCAAAUAAAUCAGUAGCCACCAGAACGGUCUUUACAACUCAGAUCUGGGACAUUACUAAAAUAACUCAACCACGGCUCAGGACGGCCGAAAAACAACUCAGAGCAUGAGACCGGGUCGAUAAGAAGAAGGUGGCAGCUCCCUAAAAUAGCCAAAAAGCAGCUAUAGGGCUACUGUCACAAAAGAAACUCAACAGAUGUACGAGACGGCCGAAAAGUAGCUCAGACUCGUGACAGUCGUUGAAGAGAGAAACAAAAAUAGGCAUCCACCCCGGAUAGCUAGAAACAGCUCAGAUCACAGGCGUGGUGCCGUCAUUGGAGAAAAAGGGGACAUGGGCUCAUCAGGAUUAUUUUCCAGGUUCACGGGUACUUGUACUGAGCUCAUUGAUGUCGUCAGUCCUCAUAAUCCUUUGUCACACUGUGGUGUAUACUGGCUUUCUUCUCUUAAUCAUCCUCAUGUGGUUAUCAGAUCCUCAUCCGAGUGACUUGUAAGAUCUUGAUGGUAUGCUCAUUGCAUAUAUAUGAGGACCUGAUUCCGAGACAGACUUGUAUUCUGAAUGACCAAAAUGUUGCCGUUCUGAUUCUUGGGAUUCACUGCCAUAUGCUGUCAAUUCAUAGCGUACUACCUUGUACCAAUGUCUUACUGAGGAAGAUUUGCUGGCUUGUGGUCGAAACUUUCAUCGGACAACUUGCUGAAGAAGACUGGAUAUCACGCUUCAGAAGCUUACCCCCUUAAAGACUUUGCUGGGGAAAGACUCAGUACCUUAUGUCGGAAGCUUUCGCGGUUGCUUACUUGGAAGCUUCUUUGGUAACUUGCGAGGGAAGAUUGGGUUGCUUCCACCAGAAACUUCUUAUUGUGAUAUGCGGAUCGAUUUCCACAUAUAUAACUAUCUGAAUAUUUAUGAUGUUAAUUUCUUGUAUGAAACAGGGUUUUACUGGAUUAUCCUCCUUUCUGAGUAUAUGCCAUAUUUUUGCUUGCUUCCAGGUACAUCGAGUUCCAGAAUCAUCCUCAAAGAAAAAUUAAACUUGUAUCUGAGCCAUACCUUUGAUAAUAUUCUAUCAACCUUGCACACAAUUUACCUUCUUGCUGAUUUAAUCAUUUUGUUGUGAUGGGUGCACGCUAAUGCAAAGUUGAUACUGACGGUCCAUCCAGGAUUUCUUUUGUAUCUCGACAAGAUAUUCCCAAUUUUCAUUGCAGUCAGCUGAUAAUUCCAUUCUGUUUAGCUGAGUUUCCAAAUAUAUGCAUUUCUUGCUGACUCUUCGGGUCCGGUGUUGGCUGACGAGCAACUUUAAUAGGGGAAAAAUUUGUAACAUCGAAGGCUCAAAGAAAGGAACAACAGAAACAACUAAAACAAAGCACACAAGCAUUCUGCUAAUAUAAUUAAUCAAGCAAUCAUCACAUAUUACUGCUACUCACACAAUAAUAUGCAUGCACACCUAAGCACACAAAUAUCGCGGAAACUUAGGUAUUGCGGUCUAAUAUGCAGUGACGAUGUGCACGAGGACGAAUAAAUGAGUGGAAGGAUUGGUGUAAACAGCGCUACACCAAGUGCUAGCUUAGCUAGGUGGCAACCUGAACUAGCUCGGAGGCGAGGACGUACUUGGUAAUCAUGCAGUAGGACACGAAGGUCGCCAUCACAUUAUUAUCAAGCGGAUGGAAAAAAUCCGUACUCGUCGAAGAAAUAGGAUAGCGGGGGAAAACCGAGGCUGCUGACAUUGCCCUUUCUUGAUAACUAAGAUCAUUAAGGGUUGCCAACACGACAAAAUAAAAGAAUGAUCCGGGAUAGACGCAUGUCCAUCACCGAAACGAUAGACGGGACUGAAGGAAAGACAUCGGCGCAAUACCUUAGCACCAUUUUUGCAAACAGUGUCGGGAUCACUUGGUAUCACUCAGCUGGGACAAAAAUGACACCAAACACCGAAAGAAAAAGGGAACUGGGUAAAUGCUAAGGCUGAGCUGUAGUGGAUCCGAACCGAUGCCAGCUACACUCACCAGAUAAACCGUUUUCGACUAAAUAAUAACCUAUAUGCAUGCUAUGCAACAAACAAAUGCAGCAAUCAUGUGCAACAAAUCAACUUGGGUCUAUACUACCGCUUUCUAACGUUCGCGCGGUCUAGGGCAUCCUACAGCCAGACCUGCUCUAAUACCAAGCCUGUGGCACCCCGGCUCAAAGAAAACUGGAACGCCCCGUAUUCCAACCCAGAGAUCAAGGAGAAGUCUUUUGGAAUAUGGCACUGCUUAGCAUAGAACAAACCAACCUUCUAUUAUUACAUGAAUAUGAAUACAAGGUCUCCGAUAUUACAAUGAAUAACAUCGGUGCGGCGACACUACGCCAUCCUCAGUUGCUCCGUGCAAGCAGCAGAACAACUCGAAGCAGCGGAAUAACUCUAGCAGCGGAACAACGACGAUGGUGGUGAACUCCACUCCGCAGGGACUCUGGCUGGAAUGCUUAUCCUAGCUUGCACGAAUGGAAACCACGACAAGCAAGCAAUCAAAUCCGGCAUGACCUGCAAGCUGGCAUGACACGCCAGGUCAGUACAUUGAAUGUACUUGCAAGCUCAAAAUAUUCAGAAGCAUUCAAGACAAACAACAUCAUGGCAAUUACUGGUUAAGCAGGAAUUAACAGGAUAUCAUCAUCCCAAAAUAACAUGGCAUGACCAACAUAAACAUGAUACAGCUAUCACAACAUGAACAUAUUAAUUCGACAAUACUAGCAUGCAACAUGAAACCACUAUAUGCACCACUUAUCCUGCUCAGGCUACCUCGUAACCAACACAUGCAUCACUUACCGACCUCGGACAUCACAUGAUCAUCUCAGGAUCAAAUCAAGCUUGGUAUAAACAAUACCGCAGUAAUCAAUAAAAUGACCACAAGGAGCUUGACUGUUACCCACGAUUCUCGUACAACAUCACGAAUAUACAACAACUCGGUAUCCUCGAUAUCACCGUGAUCCUUAUGGCGAUCACAACCACAACCAACACUUAGUCUCAAACCAUGAUCCUUACGGCGAUCACAACCCGACCAAUAAAUGGACCGUGAUCCUUACGGCGAUCACAACCUGACCAAUACCUGGACCGUGAUCCUUACGGUGAUCACCACCCAACUCAUCUCAUUGUUAUUAAGCACAUUAUUAUUAUUACUAUUGACUCAUGGUGUGACCUUCUCUCGACCUGGGCCCUUAUCCGUGGGCACGGCUAUCAAUAGAUUAAUAUGCACUCUACAGAGGUUAGUACACUGUACCCACACUACCGAACCCAUGGCCUCGCCCUCCCAUUCGGGUGGACCAACGACAUUCCGACAAAACGGAUCUAUUGUCAUGACACUCGCCCGGCCCUUCCGACUCAGACCCCACCGGGCUAGUCCUGGGUGGCCCCAUGUCUACCUCCAGACACCUCGACCAUCAUCGUGGCCACGAUCCACACUGGGAUCCGGUACCAAAAUUAACUUAACAACGGGCUCACAAGGUUAUGCUCCGCCUACCUGAUCAGGGUAGCACGCGCCCAUAACCUUCCCUAAAUUGAGUUACUGACCAGAGGCACGACAAUAGACCCAGUUAGGACCAUCCCAUACCCGUAAGCAUGGUUGCACUGGUCAGCAUCGAUUCAGCGGCACCAUGACUCAGCCAACAGGUGUUCAAGUUCAAUUUAAUCCAGUUAAACUUGAAUGCAAAUAUGCUGAGCCAUGAUAAAAUAACAUGAUGCCAACAAUAAUACAUGAACAUGAUAUCAACAUCAUCAUGAGAGUAUCACAUAACUUUCCACCAUAUCAACAGUAAAUCAUAUCCACUUAGCAUCACAUACCGACUAGCAUGACCAUAUCCAACAUCAACAUGUACUACUAACAAGCAUAAACAUAUGAAAAGUAAUACUAGAAGGUAUAACAUGAUCACAGAGUAUAAGACAACAUAUCACAAAAGUGAACAUGCAAAUCUGAAUACUACCGGAACAACGAUAACCAUCUUUUCAACAAGCAAACAUUUAUUAAAUAUUCAAGUUGAAAACCAUGGCAACU